rnacentral:rRNA from 1 species
AAUCAACGCUGGCGGCGUGCCUAACACAUGCAAGUCGAACGCGAAAGCCCGCAAGGGUAAGUAGAGUGGCGCACGGGUGAGUAACACGUGGACAACCUGCCUUCGAGUGGGGAAUAACCUUCCGAAAGGGGGCGUAUACCGCAUAAAACCGACGGACACAAGUUCUGGGGUUGGAAAAGAAGCAAUUUGCUCGAAGAGGGGUCCGGCGCCUGAUUAGCUAGUUGGUGAGGUAACGGCUCACCAAGGCUCGAUCAGUAGCCGUCCCUGAGAGGGAGCACGGCCACACUGGAACUGAGACACGGUCCAGACUCCUACGGGA